GGUUAAGCGACUAAGCGUACACGGUGGAUGCCCUGGCAGUCAGAGGCGAUGAAGGACGUGCUAAUCUGCGAAAAGCGACGGCGAGGUGAUAUGAACCUUUGACCCGUCGAUGUCCGAAUGGGGAAACCCAGUGCAAUCCGUUGCACUAUCGUUAACUGAAUACAUAGGUUAACGAGGCGAACCGGGGGAACUGAAACAUCUAAGUACCCCGAGGAAAAGAAAUCAACCGAGAUUCCCCCAGUAGCGGCGAGCGAACGGGGAGCAGCCCGGAGUCUGAAUCAGCUUGUGUGUUAGUGGAACGGUCUGGAAAGUCCGACGGUACAGGGUGAUAGUCCCGUACACGAAAACACACUUGUUGUGAACUCGAAGAGUAGGGCGGGACACGUGGUAUCCUGUCUGAAUAUGGGGGGACCAUCCUCCAAGGCUAAAUACUCCUGACUGACCGAUAGUGAACCAGUACCGUGAGGGAAAGGCGAAAAGAACCCCGGCGAGGGGAGUGAAAAAGAACCUGAAACCGUGUACGUACAAGCAGUGGGAGCCUCUUUAUGGGGUGACUGCGUACCUUUUGUAUAAUGGGUCAGCGACUUAUAUUCUGUAGCAAGGUUAACCGUAUAGGGGAGCCGAAGGGAAACCGAGUCUUAACUGGGCGUUAAGUUGCAGGGUAUAGACCCGAAACCCGGUGAUCUAGCCAUGGGCAGGUUGAAGGUUGGGUAACACUAACUGGAGGACCGAACCGACUAAUGUUGAAAAAUUAGCGGAUGACCUGUGGCUGGGGGUGAAAGGCCAAUCAAACCGGGAGAUAGCUGGUUCUCCCCGAAAGCUAUUUAGGUAGCGCCUCGUGAACUCAUCUUCGGGGGUAGAGCACUGUUUCGGCUAGGGGGCCAUCCCGGCUUACCAACCCGAUGCAAACUACGAAUACCGAAGAAUGUUAUCACGGGAGACACACGGCGGGUGCUAACGUCCGUCGUGAAGAGGGAAACAACCCAGACCGCCAGCUAAGGUCCCAAAGUCAUGGUUAAGUGGGAAACGAUGUGGGAAGGCACAGACAGCCAGGAUGUUGGCUUAGAAGCAGCCAUCAUUUAAAGAAAGCGUAAUAGCUCACUGGUCGAGUCGGCCUGCGCGGAAGAUGUAACGGGGCUAAACCAUGCACCGAAGCUGCGGCAGCGACGCUUAUGUGUUGUUGGGUAGGGGAGCGUUCUGUAAGCCGUUGAAGGUGGCCUGUGAGGGUUGCUGGAGGUAUCAGAAGUGCGAAUGCUGACAUAAGUAACGAUAAAGCGGGUGAAAAGCCCGCUCGCCGGAAGACCAAGGGUUCCUGUCCAACGUUAAUCGGGGCAGGGUGAGUCGACCCCUAAGGCGAGGCCGAAAGGCGUAGUCGAUGGGAAACAGGUUAAUAUUCCUGUACUUGGUGUUACUGCGAAGGGGGGACGGAGAAGGCUAUGUCAGCCGGGCGACGGUUGUCCCGGUUUAAGCAUGUAGGCGGAGGUUCCAGGUAAAUCCGGUACCUUUUAACGCUGAGGUGUGAUGACGAGGCACUACGGUGCUGAAGUGAUAAAUGCCCUGCUUCCAGGAAAAGCCUCUAAGCAUCAGGUAACACGAAAUCGUACCCCAAACCGACACAGGUGGUCAGGUAGAGAAUACCAAGGCGCUUGAGAGAACUCGGGUGAAGGAACUAGGCAAAAUGGUGCCGUAACUUCGGGAGAAGGCACGCUGAUAUGUAGGUGAAGUCCCUGCGGACGGAGCUGAAAUCAGUCGAAGAUACCAGCUGGCUGCAACUGUUUAUUAAAAACACAGCACUGUGCAAACACGAAAGUGGACGUAUACGGUGUGACGCCUGCCCGGUGCCGGAAGGUUAAUUGAUGGGGUUAGCGGCAACGCGAAGCUCUUGAUCGAAGCCCCGGUAAACGGCGGCCGUAACUAUAACGGUCCUAAGGUAGCGAAAUUCCUUGUCGGGUAAGUUCCGACCUGCACGAAUGGCGUAAUGAUGGCCAGGCUGUCUCCACCCGAGACUCAGUGAAAUUGAACUCGCUGUGAAGAUGCAGUGUACCCGCGGCAAGACGGAAAGACCCCGUGAACCUUUACUAUAGCUUGACACUGAACACUGGUCCUUGAUGUGUAGGAUAGGUGGGAGGCUUUGAAGCGUGGACGCCAGUCUGCGUGGAGCCAACCUUGAAAUACCACCCUUUAAUGGCUGGUGUUCUAACGUAGACCCGUAAUCCGGGUUGCGGACAGUGUCUGGUGGGUAGUUUGACUGGGGCGGUCUCCUCCCAAAGAGUAACGGAGGAGCACGAAGGUUGGCUAAUCCUGGUCGGACAUCAGGAGGUUAGUGCAAUGGCAUAAGCCAGCUUGACUGCGAGCGUGACGGCGCGAGCAGGUGCGAAAGCAGGUCAUAGUGAUCCGGUGGUUCUGAAUGGAAGGGCCAUCGCUCAACGGAUAAAAGGUACUCCGGGGAUAACAGGCUGAUACCGCCCAAGAGUUCAUAUCGACGGCGGUGUUUGGCACCUCGAUGUCGGCUCAUCACAUCCUGGGGCUGAAGUAGGUCCCAAGGGUAUGGCUGUUCGCCAUUUAAAGUGGUACGCGAGCUGGGUUUAGAACGUCGUGAGACAGUUCGGUCCCUAUCUGCCGUGGGCGCUGGAGAAUUGAGGGGGGCUGCUCCUAGUACGAGAGGACCGGAGUGGACGCAUCACUGGUGUUCGGGUUGUCAUGCCAAUGGCACUGCCCGGUAGCUAAAUGCGGAAGAGAUAAGUGCUGAAAGCAUCUAAGCACGAAACUUGCCCCGAGAUGAGUUCUCCCUGAGACUUUAAGUCUCCUGAAGGAACGUUGAAGACGACGACGUUGAUAGGUCGGGUGUGUAAGCGCAGCGAUGCGUUGAGCUAACCGAUACUAAUGAACCGUGAGGCUUAACCUU
rnacentral:rRNA from 1 species